AGUGAACGCCGGCGGUAGGCCUAACACAUGCAAGUCGAACGGCAGCACAGUAAGAGCUUGCUCUUACGGGUGGCGAGUGGCGGACGGGUGAGGAAUACAUCGGAAUCUACUUUUUCGUGGGGGAUAACGUAGGGAAACUUACGCUAAUACCGCAUACGACCUACGGGUGAAAGCAGGGGAUCUUCGGACCUUGCGCGAUUGAAUGAGCCGAUGUCGGAUUAGCUAGUUGGCGGGGUAAAGGCCCACCAAGGCGACGAUCCGUAGCUGGUCUGAGAGGAUGAUCAGCCACACUGGAACUGAGACACGGUCCAGACUCCUACGGGAGGCAGCAGUGGGGAAUAUUGGACAAUGGGCGCAAGCCUGAUCCAGCCAUACCGCGUGGGUGAAGAAGGCCUUCGGGUUGUAAAGCCCUUUUGUUGGGAAAGAAAAGCAGCAGGUUAAUACCCCGCUGUUCUGACGGUACCCAAAGAAUAAGCACCGGCUAACUUCGG
rnacentral:rRNA from 1 species